rnacentral:lncRNA from 13 species
AGGUGUGGCUGUUUAAAACGGCUUCUUAGGCACUGCCGACAACAAAGGGAGAAGAAAAUGAAACCGAAAGGACAAGGAAGCUGACAGGCAGUGAGAAGGGCUAAAGAAGAGAGUUGAGGCAAACUUCUUACAUGAUCUAAGAAUGUCAUUAUGUUGAUUGUUACCUACGGCCAGCAUCUAAGGAAGCCAUCUCAGAAAGAUUCUCUAUAACCAAGAAAUUCAUACAGAGUGCUCACCACUGAAAGCACACAGAGUUGAAGCCAGGCUGUACAAGAAGCAUGACACCAACCAGCAUCUGCUUCCACCCAUGAGAGAAGAUAAACAGAAGCCAGCUCUUCAGGAAUAAAAUGGAAAGAAAGAGGCAAGACAGAAGAAAGAAAGAGAUACCAAGCAUUUUCAACAACUAGUUCUUGAGGGAACCUAAAAGUGAGACUUAUGCCCUCCUGUU